rnacentral:rRNA from 1 species
AUGAAUUGCUUAGCGUGGAAUUGUUGGGGGGUGGCCAAUGACCCGACAGAUCGAGAUUUGGUUGGCCUAGUCAAGGCAGCCAAUCCAAGUUGGUUUUUGUGUGAAACGCGUGAGAAAGCUAAUAAAGUGCGUCGUCUCCGUGGCAGGCUAGGGCUAGGGGGGUUUGCCAGACAUGGCAGUAAUGGUCUCAGUGGUGGAUUGGCUCUUUUUUGGUGUGAUCAAAUUUAUGUUGAGAUUAAGGAGAUAAAGGAGAGAUAUAUUGAUGCAUAUGGCCGGUUACCCGAUGAUGCUCCUUUAUGGCAUUUGACUUGUGUGUACGGGGAACUCGGGUGGAGAACUGACAUCUCAUGUGGACGGCAUUCCAAGAUCUAA